ACCGGCGCAAGGGUGCGUAACGCGUGAGCAACAUGCCCGUAUCAGGGGGAUAAUCCAGGGAAACUUGGUCUAAUACCCCAUAGUAAUCAUGAAAGGCAUCUUUUAUGAUUUAAAGCUUUGGUGGAUACGGAUUGGCUCGCGUGACAUUAGUUAGAUGGUAGGGUAACGGCUUACCAUGACUAUGAUGUCUAGGGGUUCUGAGAGGAAGGUCCCCCACACUGGAACUGAGACACGGUCCAGACUCCUACGGGAGGCAGCAGUGAGGAAUAUUGGACAAUGGAUGGAAAUCUGAUCCAGCCAUGCCGCGUGCAGGAAGAAUGUCCUAUGGAUUGUAAACUGCUUUUGUAUGGGAGCAAUAAGGUCUUCGUGAAGGCCGAUGAGAGUACCAUACGAAUAAGCACCGGCUAACUCCGUGCCAGCAGCCGCGGUAAUACGGAGGGUGCAAGCGUUAUCCGGAUUUAUUGGGUUUAAAGGGUGCGUAGGCGGUUAUAUAAGUCAGCGGUGAAAUUUUUCGGCUCAACCGGAAACAUGCCGUUGAUACUGUAUAGCUUGAAUAUGGUUGCUGUGAGUGGAAUGUGUAGUGUAGCGGUGAAAUGCUUAGAUAUUACACAGAAUAUCGAUUGCGAAGGCAACUCACAAAGCCAAUAUUGACGCUGAGGCACGAAAGUGUGGGGAUCAAACAGGAUUAGAUACCCUGGUAGUCCACGCCGUAAACGAUGAUAACUAGCUGUCGGCGAUAGACCGUCGGUGGCCAAGCGAAAGCGAUAA
rnacentral:rRNA from 1 species